rnacentral:rRNA from 1 species
UACGGAGGGGGCUAGCGUUGUUCGGAAUCAUUGGGCGUAAAGGGCGCGUAGGCGGCCGAUCAAGUCGGAGGUGAAAUCCCUCGGCUCAACUGAGGAAUUGCCUUCGAUACUGUUCGGCUUGAGUCCUGGAGAGGGUAGCGGAAUUCCCGGUGUAGCGGUGAAAUGCGUAGAGACCGGGAAGAACACCAGUGGCGAAGGCGGCUACCUGGACAGGUACUGACGCUGAGGCGCGAGAGCGUGGGGAGCAAACAGG